rnacentral:misc_RNA from 1 species
AAAGUCGUAACAAGGUUUCCGUAGGUGAACCUGCGGAAGGAUCAUUAAAUAUCAGUAGUUUACUACUGUUUGAGAGGGGGGAAAACACCCGGACCUGUCACUUGAGGGCAGGCCCGGCCACUGGAGUACCCUUCUGUCUUAACCCUUGUUUUUUGCGCACUUGUGUUUCCUCGGCUGGCUUGCCAGCCGUUUGGACAAACCAAUAACCUUUUUAAUUUUCAAUCAGCGUCUGAAUUAUUUUAAUAAUUACAACUUUCAACAACGGAUCUCUUGGUUCUG